rnacentral:rRNA from 1 species
AUACGGAGGGUGCAAGCGUUACUCGGAAUCACUGGGCGUAAAGAGCGUGUAGGCGGGUUAAUAAGUUGGAAGUGAAAUCCUAUGGCUCAACCAUAGAACUGCUUUCAAAACUGUUGACCUAGAAUAUGGGAGAGAUAGAUGGAAUUUCUGGUGUAGGGGUAAAAUCCGUAGAGAUCCGAAGGAAUACCGAUUGCGAAGGCGAUCUACUGGAACAUUAUUGACGCUGAGACGCGAAAGCGUGGGGAGCAAACAGGAUUAGAAACCCUAGUAGUCC